GAAGGCAUUACUUUCACCGUUUGAGCAUGCAACAGUGCACACAUCCUCAAGUACGUCUGUGACAGUGUCAUCAGUGAUUCCUGUUGUUUGCGGUAUAUUACACAACCUGUCAGCCCUGAAAUCGAAACUCCAGACAAAGGUGGGUCGAGAUGUAAGCGAUAACUUUCUUCAAGGGGUCAAUAAAAGAUUGGUCCCCUAUGAAUCUCGUACUGUGACUCGAAUGACCACAAUAUUAGACCCUCGCUUUAAGAAGGAGGGGUUUUGGAACCCAUUUCAUUCCUCUCAAGGAGUUAAAUCUUUAGAGGAGGGAUCUGUCGCACAUCAAUGCUCAAACAAAAUCAUCUAAAUCUUCAAACCCGCCAGCACCAGAACUCCAGCCUGUUAUUCAGUUUCUACAAGCCAACAAAAAUCAACAAAUUCAAAGCGAUCGCGUGGAUUUCAUACUAGCUCUACGCCAUUAUUUGAAUGGUACUAAUUUGGAGCCUGCACAAAACCCAUUAGAUUAUUGGAAGAUAUCAAAUGACACCGCAUUCAAAACAUGCGUUUUGAAGUACUUCUACGUUCCGGCCACUUCCACAGAAAGUGAACGAAUGUUUAGCAAGGCAGGUUGUAAGCGAAAAGCGGAGCUCGCUAAAAGCAAAAAUGUAAAUGUGAUUUUAUUUUUAAACAA